AUGAUAUGCAAAAUUAGACUUUGCAAAAUAAUAAAUUUAACAAUGCAUGCAUCCUAAGUGUGUGCUCAAUUUAUCCUACGUUCUGUCAUGGGGAAUCAUAUAUAUAUAAAGUCCUCGUAUUUCUUUCCGGAUUUACUUCUCGCCCAAAAUCUGCCCAACAAUACUCGUUUAACUCCACCUAAACAAUUAUUGAACCAGCCCAAAAAUAAAAAGAUAAGCAGCACAACCUGUGUUCUAAAUCCACUAAAUUAAAUACUCCCAGUCCUACACAGAAAAAAUAAAUGACGAGCAACUAAAUAAUUUAAUAUACUUACUUCCAGCCACCAUGCGUAUAUACUCCUUUCCCAACACAAUACAUUUAUACAUACAUAUUAUUAUAUUCCCAACCACUAAGUAUAAAAAGAAAAAGAAAAGGCUGUCAUUUACUAUACUCCCAGCCGUAAUUCAUUAGGGAAUAAAAAAAAAAGAAGGAAAAGCUUUACUUAAUACUCCCAGCCAUCGUCUCUCUCCCUUUUCAAUUCAACCCAGCUGCUCUCUCUCUUACUUUCACAUUUUCACGCCUAAAAACAGAAACAACUCCCUCAAAUUCUUCUCUAAUUCCACAUGAUUCAAAAUUGUUCCUUCUCUCCCUCUGAUUCUCACUUCACAGAAAUACAAAUCUCGACUCCCACCAUAGCUUCCUCCGUAAAUUGCAGGAUUUGGACCCUACUGUACUAUCCUCUCUCUCUCUAUUUUCAGCAAGCAAACUCUCUCUCGUUCCUCACACCCUCCGUCGCCGAGCAGCCCACUGCCGCUGUCACGGUCUCUCCGUCGCUGUUGGUUCUAACGCUACACCGCCCCUGCUCCGUCCCCUCCGGGGGACGCUGUCGUCGCUGCCGGGAGACACGACGCCGCUGCUGUCAGCAGCGUCGUCGGUCAGUCUCUCCCACUCCGUUGCCCCGAUCUACCCCAAAACAGCCCCGACGCCUCCGAUUCCAAACCGGUUCGUUAAAGGUUAUUGCAGAAGAAAUUGAUAUACCUUUGGAGAGGAGAAAUUGCCUAGCAGCAGAAGGAAUUGAAUUCACGGCAGUUUUGUAUUUUUUUAUCCUCAAACUGUGAUGUCAAGCAAGAAUUGUGGCAGGAGUCAGUAAAUUGCGAUUUUGUUAUCGCAGAAUUGAAUUUGAAGGGAUAAUACCUUUAGUUUGAUCGAGCAAUUGGAACGUAGAAGAUUUCUCUAUGUUACUUUCCUCCGAUUUUGAAUAUA